CCGACCUUAGCUCAAUUGGUAGAGCGGAGGACUGUAGAUCCUUAGGUCGCUGGUUCGAAUCCGGCAGGUCGGA
rnacentral:ncRNA from 15 species